GCCCCGGUGGUGGAAUUGGUAGACGCGCCGGACUCAAAAUCCGGUUCCGCAAGGAGUGUCGGUUCGAGCCCGACCCGGGGCACCA
rnacentral:tRNA from 1 species